GUAGGGAAUAUUGCGCAAUGGACGAAAGUCUGACGCAGCGACGCCGCGUGAGUGAUGAAGGCCUUAGGGUCGUAAAGCUCUGUUGAAUGGGAAGAAAAAAAUGACGGUACCAUUCGAGGAAGGACCGGCUAACUUCGUGCCAGCAGCCGCGGUAAUACGAGGGGUCCUAGCGUUGUUCGGAAUCAUUGGGCGUAACGGGUGUGUAGGUGGCCAUGUAAGUCAGGUGUGAAAGCCCCGGGCUCAACCCGGGAAGUGCACUUGAUACUGCGUGGCUUGAGUACCGAAGAGGGUAGUGGAAUUCCAGGUGUAGUGGUGAAAUACGUAGAUAUCUGGAGGAACACCGGUGGCGAAGGCGGCUACCUGGUCGAGUACUGACACUGAGACACGAAAGCAUGGGGAUCAAACAGGAUUAGAAACCCCUGUAGUCC
rnacentral:rRNA from 1 species